AAACAGAUUGUUUGCUUUUAGCUCGCAACGAUAGAGACUCUGGGUUAGUCCGUCCGGAUUACUUGGGUGUGGAACCUGUUCAAUCUCUUCCAAGUUAGUACAUUUAUUGAAAAGAAAGAGAAAAUAUUGUUUAGAGAGAGUACUGUUCCUUAAUUCUGAUUAAGUCUAAUUUACAGUAGCCAAUUUCCUGUACAGAACUAAAACUACUGGAGAUCUUCACUAUUGUGAUAUUGAUAUUGUUCAAUCUCUUCCAAGUUAGUACAUUUAUUGAAUAGAAGGAAAGAAUAUUGUUCUUUGAUUUUGAUCAAGUCUAUAUACACUAGCCAAUCAUGUACAGAACAAAACUACUGGAUAUCUUCACUAUUGUUAUAUUGGUAUUCAUUGACAUGCUGUGAUGGUGCUUAGAUUAACAAGAAAAUGUGACAUUUAUUCUGGUUGGAGGGAAAAGAGAAGGAAUAUUACAGAAUUUAUCAGAAGGGUAGCAUAUCCCUCCAUUUAACCUAUUCUUCCACGAAGUAAAAAAAGGAGAUACUCCUUAUCCUCUAAUCAUCCCAAUUAGCUAUGUAAUUAGAUAUAGCAAAAUACGUGAAGUUUGCUUGUGUUGGUGGGAGGUAAUAGGUACCCGUUAAAUUAAUCGAGGUGCGUGCAAGGUCCGUACACCACUAUUGUCAAAAGGAAAAAAAAUGCGAAGUUUGAUGUCCCAAGAUGAUGGGAGGGUCUCUUCAGUUUACAAGCUACCCUCCCAAUUGGCCAAAUUGUGAUAUACGAGGCCUGAGUUGUGUCUGAAAUAGCAGUUGUUUGGAUUUGCUCUUAAUUCUAUCACCAAGUGAAACAGAAAGUGGCAAGGGAAGAAACAUCAGCAAGGCCCUGGACUUGGAUGUUAUUGUCUUGUUCUACUAAAUCAUUUCUGGUAGGCCUUUUAUAGUGCUGUCAGAGGGAUCACGCCAGAUUAGCAAACCAGCCCACUUCAAUUAUUGGCAUCAUUCUUGUAGAUUAUAGUUUUAGCAACAAAAGAUCAAAGCUCGGA